rnacentral:rRNA from 1 species
GACGAACGCUGGCGGCGUGCUUAACACAUGCAAGUCGAACGGAAAGGCCCUGCUUUUGUGGGGUGCUCGAGUGGCGAACGGGUGAGUAACACGUGAGUAACCUGCCCUUGACUUUGGGAUAACUUCAGGAAACUGGGGCUAAUACCGGAUAGGAGCUCCUGCUGCAUGGUGGGGGUUGGAAAGUUUCGGCGGUUGGGGAUGGACUCGCGGCUUAUCAGCUUGUUGGUGGGGUAGUGGCUUACCAAGGCUUUGACGGGUAGCCGGCCUGAGAGGGUGACCGGCCACAUUGGGACUGAGAUACGGCCCAGACUCCUACGGGAGGCAGCAGUGGGGAAUAUUGCACAAUGGGCGGAAGCCUGAUGCAGCAACGCCGCGUGCGGGAUGACGGCCUUCGGGUUGUAAACCGCUUUCGCCUGUGACGAAGCGUGAGUGACGGUAAUGGGUAAAGAAGCACCGGCUAACUACGUGCCAGCAGCCGCGGUGAUACGUAGGGUGCGAGCGUUGUCCGGAUUUAUUGGGCGUAAAGGGCUCGUAGGUGGUUGAUCGCGUCGGAAGUGUAAUCUUGGGGCUUAACCCUGAGCGUGCUUUCGAUACGGGUUGACUUGAGGAAGGUAGGGGAGAAUGGAAUUCCUGGUGGAGCGGUGGAAUGCGCAGAUAUCAGGAGGAACACCAGUGGCGAAGGCGGUUCUCUGGGCCUUUCCUGACGCUGAGGAGCGAAAGCGUGGGGAGCGAACAGGCUUAGAUAUCCUGGUAGUCCACGCUGUAAACGGUGGGUACUAGGUGUGGGGUCCAUUCCACGGGUUCCGUGCCGUAGCUAACGCUUUAAGUACCCCGCCUGGGGAGUACGGCCGCAAGGCUAAAACUCAAAGGAAUUGACGGGGCCCCGCACAAGCGGCGGAGCAUGCGGAUUAAUUCGAUGCAACGCGUAGAACCUUACCUGGGUUUGACAUGGAUCGGGAGUGCUCAGAGAUGGGUGUGCCUCUUUUGGGGUCGGUUCACAGGUGGUGCAUGGCUGUCGUCAGCUCGUGUCGUGAGAUGUUGGGUUAAGUCCCGCAACGAGCGCAACCCUUGUUCACUGUUGCCAGCACGUUAUGGUGGGGACUCAGUGGAGACCGCCGGGGUCAACUCGGAGGAAGGUGGGGAUGACGUCAAGUCAUCAUGCCCCUUAUGUCCAGGGCUUCACGCAUGCUACAAUGGCUGGUACAGAGAGUGGCGAGCCUGUGAGGGUGAGCGAAUCUCGGAAAGCCGGUCUCAGUUCGGAUUGGGGUCUGCAACUCGACCUCAUGAAGUCGGAGUCGCUAGUAAUCGCAGAUCAGCAACGCUGCGGUGAAUACGUUCCCGGGGCU